CAGAUCCGAGAGAGGUGUCCUCGGCCCGCGCUUCGAGCGGUCCGCGCCGCGGCCGGGCAGGGGCACCUGCGGCUCCAGAUUCGGGGUGGAGGCACGUGGGAUGCGGACUCCCGCCACAGCCUGGGGGCGGACGGGCUCUCCCCAGACCCAUUCUACAGAGGCGGAAACUGAGGCUCGGAGAGGCGGCUGGACCGCAGCGUGUAGAGCAGCGCCGGGACCCCGCGCACCAAGCACAGCGGCACGAGAACCGCGGCCGCAGCAGGCCGCGCGCGGAGCCGGGUCGUGGUCCCCGCCAGCAACCGCCGGCAGCGUCGCUCGCCCUCCGUCGACAGGUUGUUGGUCAGCUUGAGCUUGUCGAAGGACACGAUCUGGCGCAUCCACUGCGCACCCUUGGCCGGCGAGUCUGGGUGGAAGUGCACGCGGCCGGGCGUGGCCGGGUCUGCCUUGCCCGCCACCAGCCAGGCCGAGCUGUGGAAGGCGUACCUGGGGACAGAGCGAGGAAGUGAGGGCGCCCCAACUGUGCCCCGGGUACCUCAUCUGCUGCCCCCAUGUGGAACCCAGCCUGACGGGGCGUCUCUCCUAUGGCCCCCACACUGGCCCCAUCUGCAUAUGAGAAACCAGAGACUCCAGAAUGCUGUCCGGCCUGGGUUCCUCACGGCUGCACCUGCUGCCCUGGGCUAGCCCACCCUACCUGCCCAGGCACGAAGUCCAUGAGCAGGACAUAGUCAGCCAGCGUGUCCAUGCCCAGGAUCUUCACCUGGAAGGUGGGGAACAUCCUCCUGCAGAGAAUUCAGCAGCCUGAAUGUGGUUCCAGCCUGACCUCCACUCCCACCUCACCGCCCCCCAAUUGCUCAUACCUGCCCGCCUUGGUGACAAUCAUCUCGGUGCCCAGCUGGUUGAAUUCCUCCCACAGAGCCUUCAUCUCCAGCUGAACCGUCACGCCGGACACACGUGGGUUCUUGGGGCCCUGCCCAGUGGGCUCGGCCAUGGCUUGGGCCCCUGUGGAGCCGGUGGAAGGGCCUGAUGGUAACAGGGAGUCCAGCUGGGGCUCCCAGCUGGAGCUGGUCAUGGGCGAGGUGUAGGUCUCCGAGGGGGCAAAUACCCCGAGGCCAGCAGAGAGGAAGGCUGGGGAGAGAGGACAGAGUGUGGGGCCCUUUUUACCUCACCCACCCCCACUCCACCCAGCCAGCUUUCAUCUUUCAGGCAGCACCCAGAUGCCUCUUCUUCCAGGAAGCCCUCCCUGACUGCCAGGCUUCUGUUCCCACAGGAUCCCCAACUCAGUGUCACUUCAUGAGGUAAAUUCUCACUUAAAGCUCCUGGAGACCAGAGACAGGACCUGUCUGGCUCCCCAGGGAAUCUUUGAGCCAUCAGAAGGCCAUGUGGACUUAAGCAAAUUGUUUCACCUCCUGGAGCCUCAGUUUCCACAUCUGUCACAAGCGGUUCUUAAUAUCUACCUUGUAGAGCUGACGUGAGGAUCUGUGAGGACAGGCACAGGGCCUGGUGCACAGUAGGCCCUUCAUAAAGGACACCUGUGAUGAAUGAUGGGACACGUGGGGUCAUGGGGGUGGGGGUGGAGGUCUUUCUCAGCUCUGGGGAGACCUGGCUGCCUUGUGCUGCUAAAGGAACACUGAGCUGAAGGAGAUCCCGGAAUUACCAUGAAUGACUCUUACCCAUCUCUGACCCCGAAAACUGGCCCAAAUCCUGCCUCUAGAAGCCAGUUCUAACAUCGUUCUGCUCUGGCUGCCUCACUUUUUUUUAAAGAGCCCAUCUUUUGAUCUGCAGUCCCAGAACAAGGCUUGGCCAAAAGCUUUGCCACAGCGCCACCCUUCUGAUUAAAGAAAAAGGUCCUAACUACAAUGAGAUACUACUUUAUACCCACGAGGAUGGCUGUUACUGAAAACCAAAACAAUAACAUAAACAAAAAAUGAAACAUUACAAAUGUUGGUGAGGAUGUGGAGAAAUUGGGACCCUUGUGCAUUGCUGGUGGAAUGUAAAGUGGUGUAGACCCUGUGGAAAACCGCUGACAGUUCCUCAAAAUAUUAAAGAUAGAAUUACCAUCCAA